rnacentral:rRNA from 1 species
AUUGAACGCUGGCGGCAGGCCUAACACAUGCAAGUCGAGCGGAGCGGCGGACGGGUGCGUAAUGCCUAGGAAUCUGCCUGGUAGUGGGGGAUAACGUCCGGAAACGGGCGCUAAUACCGCAUACUAUCAGAUGAGCCUAGGUCGGAUUAGCUAGUUGGUGGGGUAAAGGCCUACCAAGGCGACGAUCCGUAACUGGUCUGAGAGGAUGAUCAGUCACACUGGAACGGAGACACGGUCCAGAGUCCUACGGGAGGCAGCAGUGGGGAAUAUGGGACAAUGGGCGAAAGCCUGAGCCAGCCAGGCCGCGUGUGUGAAGAAGGGCGGCGGGGGGUAAAGGACGGUAGGGGGGGAGGCGUUACCAACAGAAUAAGCACCGGCUAACUUCGUGCCAGCAGCCGCGGUAAUAC